AUAAUACUCCCUCCGUCCCGAAUUAACUGACGUGGAUUUGAAGAAUCUAGACAAAUCCACGUCAGUUAAUUUGGGACGGAGGGAGUAUAUG
rfam:Brachypodium distachyon strain Bd21 chromosome 5, whole genome shotgun sequence.